CAUCUACGGACACUGCUAGGACUCACCAUGAUGGCCAUACUCACAGGGCUGUUGUACCUGGGUCUUAUUGUGGAACCCAGGACUGCAGUACAGUCAGCAGAUGCCAAAGAGAGGUCCCUUACCUACACUGAAGAUGGAAAGUGAUGACUCUCCAUGAGGGGAUACACAUUGUGUUGAGAUAUGUUGGUGAAGCCUUCAGUGAAGUUCAGAAAUUGAGCAACUGGACUUGCUCUCCACUUAGAUGACUGGUUCCUUACAUAGCUUAUGGUCCAAUAUCUUUCUCUACUUGUAUUUCAGACCCUCCUUUACUCCACCUUUUAUCUCCUGCUUUCAUGAAAACAUUGAAUAAUUUUUUUUU